ACAGGGGAGGUUCAGUGGUAGAAUUCUCGUCUUCCAUGUGGGAGACCUGGGUUGGGUUCAAUUCCCAGCCACUGCA
rnacentral:tRNA from 1 species